rnacentral:tRNA from 1 species
GUCCCCGUCGUCUAGUGGUUAGGACACCGGCCUUUCACGCCGGCAGCGCGGGUUCGAUUCCCGCCGGGGAUGCCA